GUAGUCAUAUGCUUGUCUCAAAGAUUAAGCCAUGCAUGUCUAAGUAUAAGCAACUUGUACUGUGAAACUGCGAAUGGCUCAUUAAAUCAGUUAUCGUUUAUUUGAUAGUACCUUACUACAUGGAUACCUGUGGUAAUUCUAGAGCUAAUACAUGCUAAAAACCCCGACUUCAGGAAGGGGUGUAUUUAUUAGAUAAAAAACCAACGCCCUUCGGGGCUCCUUGGUGAAUCAUAAUAACUUAACGAAUCGCAUGGCCUUGCGCCGGCGAUGGUUCAUUCAAAUUUCUGCCCUAUCAACUUUCGAUGGUAGGAUAGUGGCCUACCAUGGUGGCAACGGGUAACGGGGAAUUAGGGUUCGAUUCCGGAGAGGGAGCCUGAGAAACGGCUACCACAUCCAAGGAAGGCAGCAGGCGCGCAAAUUACCCAAUCCCGAUACGGGGAGGUAGUGACAAUAAAUACUGAUACNGGGCUCUUUUGGGUCUCGUAAUUGGAAUGAGAACAAUUUAAAUCCCUUAACGAGG
rnacentral:rRNA from 1 species